rnacentral:ncRNA from 1 species
UAAACUCUGCAGUAAUGUAAGAGCUGAACUGUCAGAAUGCAGCAGAAGUCAUAGUAGAUUGGUGAUAUAUACAUCAAUUGAAGGAU